rnacentral:rRNA from 1 species
GACAGAGGAGCCAAGCGUUGUCCGGAUUGACUGGGCGUAAAGCGCACGCAGGCGGCUGUGCACGUGGGGUGUGAAAGCUGGCGGCUUAACUGCCAGACGCCACCUCAUACGGCACGGCUCGAGCCCGUGAGAGGUCCACGGAAUUGCCGGUGUAGUGGUGAAAUGCGUAGAGAUCGGCAGGAACACCCAGGGGGAAACCAGUGGACUGGCACGAUGCUGACGCUCAGGUGCGAAAGCGUGGGGAGCGAACCGG